rnacentral:rRNA from 1 species
AACGAACGCUGGCGGCAUGCCUAACACAUGCAAGUCGAACGAUGCUUUCGGGCAUAGUGGCGCACGGGUGCGUAACGCGUGGGAAUCUGCCCUUGGGUCUGGGAUAACAGUUGGAAACGACUGCUAAUACCGGAUGAUAUCGCGAGAUCAAAGAUUUAUCGCCCGAGGAUGAGCCCGCGUAGGAUUAGCUAGUUGGUGGGGUAAAGGCCUACCAAGGCGACGAUCCUUAGCUGGUCUGAGAGGAUGAUCGGCCACACUGGGACUGAGACACGGCCCAGACUCCUACGGGAGGCAGCAGUGGGGAAUAUUGGACAAUGGGCGAGAGCCUGAUCCAGCAAUGCCGCGUGAGUGAUGAAGGCCUUAGGGUUGUAAAGCUCUUUUACCCGGGAUGAUAAUGACAGUACCGGGAGAAUAAGCCCCGGCUAACUCCGUGCCAGCCGCCGCGGUAAUAC